UCGGGUCGGAUCGGGAUCACCCAGGACCCGACCCGACCCGAUCCGACCCAUUUGCACCCCUAAUAAGAAGGUAUCGUUUUAAGACUCUAGAAAAAAGAUCGGUAUAGGAGGUCUUCAUUGCGCAACGUGUCCUGCAAGCCGGCCUUAUCUUUUAGUUUAUUUCAGUUCCUGUGUCUAUCGCUAUCGCCCUGUUCUCUCUCAAUUGCCUAUCCUUUAUAGACGAGGGGGAGUACCUUAGCAGUAGCUUCCAACAUGACAGAUUGACCUCCUCAAGUGCCAGAUUUAUGCCCAUUUUAUGAAUUUUCUACUGGACAUC
rnacentral:lncRNA from 1 species